UACGUAGGGGGCAAGCGUUGUCCGGAAUCAUUGGGCGUAAAGCGCGUGUAGGCGGCUUGGUAAGUCUGCUCUGAAAGCCCGGGGCUCAACCCUGGGAGGCGGGUGGAUACUGCCGAGCUCGAGUCCGGAAGAGGCGAGUGGAAUUCCUGGUGUAGCGGUGAAAUGCGCAGAUAUCAGGAGGAACACCAAUGGCGAAGGCAGCUCGCUGGGACGAUACUGACGCUGAGACGCGAAAGCGUGGGGAGCAAACAGG
rnacentral:rRNA from 1 species